AGAAACACGUCACUGGCAGCCGCAGCCAUGAAGAGCGCGCGCUCCAGCCUCCGGCGAAUCAGUUGCUCUCAGUCUCCGGAGACGGUCGCUUCUCGCCUUUGGAGCGCGGAUCCUGCAGCGGCUCGCAAGCGACGACGUCAAAGUUUGGCACAUGUUUCAUUGCCUUGGGUUUGAAAGGAUGGGUAGCCUUAGGGGUUGAUUGUUAUCUUUGGUUAUCUAGCUGUAUGAGUGAUGUACAUUCUUCAUAAAGCUAGAUAACCGAAAGUAACAAGAAUCCCAUUACACUCCUGGAAAGGCAUCAAGACCCGAAAUGCUCCGGAUUCCAAAAUAAAAACAUGAAAUACACAAGAAGACACAUUACAGUAAAGGAGAUGGACAGCAUUUCAAAGGAGAUGGGAUCAUAAACCAGAAUAAAGGGGGACCUUACCAGUGAGGCAAAACUGGAAAAAGAAGACUGAAAACAGAAAAGGAGGAGGAGGGGUUGCUGUUGAUUCUGC